CGAUAUGCCUUGGGUAGCUGUAAGUAAGCGAUGAUCCAGGGAUUUCCGAAUGGGGGAACCCAACAGGUAAUACCUGUUACCCACAUCUGUUAAGGAUGUCAG
rnacentral:rRNA from 1 species